CAUUACGUAAAACGUGUCAUGCAGUGGUGUAGAGGUUGGGUGAUAACGGGGCGUGUUUUAUCAUUAUCAAGCAAGUACAAUAGAUAGCCGUAAGACUUAAGAGGUUAGGAUGCGAAAAAAAAUCGUAUAAAAGGAUAGAGAAAAGGAGGUAGAAAUCAGUCGUGUGAGGAUCUCCGACACGGCAACUACUGCAGUGUACUAUCUGUCACUAACUGCAUCCUCAUCCUCAUCGUGUAACCAAAUCGCAAUCAUGGCAGGUACAAUUGCCGCACGGCUCGAGUUGAAAGGUGAAUCAGGAGAAGUCAAAACUUAUUAAACGAGA